GUGAGAUUUCUUGAUUUGUGCUCAAGACCCUUUCAAGCCUUCAGUGGGAAAAAGUACAGCUUUGCUGCUUUGGGCCCUGUGCCUUCAUGGGGAACAUUGCUGUGAGCUGAAGACAGCUUACUCUCCCUUUGCAUUAUCACAGGAGCUGGUCUUGCUUGCGCCUGGUGGGCACCUGGCCGGACCCUGGGGAUACAGCAGUGAACAAGACAUGUCAGAGAUGCCCUCAUGGCGGCUGGCAUCGCAGGAGUGGGCUUGGCAGCUGUGGGCCUCAUCGGAGCUGUGAUCUCAAGAAACAAGCGACAAAAGCAAUAAGUUGAAGGGACUGUCCUGACAGCAAUUACUUUAUACAUUAACAGGAACUUGUUUUGCUAGAGGUUUUGAGGUUUGGUUUAUGGCUUUCAUUCUGUUUUUAUAAUAAGACAUAUUUUCACAGAAUUAAAUACAGCCCAAUAAAGGAGGAUGUUAUUGGGGGAAAUGCAGCCAGAACUGCCUGGUGUGAAGUCUGUUGAGGGCACAGCUGGGCUCUGUUCCUGGUGACGCCAGUUGGUGCCCUGGCCCUUUGGUGAUCUUUCACUUUCUCUUUGCGGCUGCGUUCUUACCUUGCAGGACACACAGUCCAACUCCUGUUACCUCAAGUAAUGGGCGCUUCUGGUUGUGAGGACACACUGGACAGCAAGACCUCGUGGAUAUACAAGAACAGGAACCACGGGAUAGUCAGGACCUUGGCCUGGAACUAGACCCGGGAUGGCUUCUAGGCUCAGCAGCCAGAGUGUGCAGAUGUUCACUGGAGUUCAAACCAAACCAAACCUUUGCCAUAAAGAAACUCAAUAUAUGCUCUUGCCAAUCUUAAAACCAGCCUUAUUACCUCUCUGCUCUUCACAUCUUUCCUCUGUUUGUUGCUUUCACCCUCCCCCACCCCAUCCCCAGAACUCCUGCUUCCUCACCACUGGGCUUGGGACAAUCCUGAGGUCUCUGAUCCCACAUCCCCUCCUUUGCCCCUCCUCCCCAUAUCAGCUCAGCUCUGUCCCUUCCUACACCCUGUCAGGUGCUCCUAGUUCAAAUUCUUGAGAGAGAAUCAGCUCACCAAAUCCUAGUUCAGCCUACUGAUUGGCUGCUGUUGGGUCAGGUGACCCUAUUAGGCCAAUCAGCUCUUUCCUGUUGGGGCCAGGUCACAUGGUGGUUGCCUCACACCUUCUAGUUUGGGGGUGUGGCAGGCCCCAAGCCUGACCUCCCUGCUGCCCAACCCUCCUGGGAGGGGUUGGGGGAAGGAAUGCCCCUUGUGGCGAGUCCCUUGAGGUCUGCUUCUGCCCUGUGGGCUUAGAAGGUGUUCAAAGUGACCGUUUCUCUAAAAGGGGCUUUUGUGUGUUCCUCAGAGACACUCUACUAGUGCUGCGAAUGUUUCCUUUGUCAGCCCUGGUGUCAGGGACCAUGUGUCUGUUGGAAUCCUGGACAGGACUGUCAAGGAAAAGAAAACGGACUCUGUAAACUUCAGAAAAGAGUUUUAUUGAAGACUUACUUGUUGAGGGCGGGCCUUGGAACAGUGCUCUGACUUGGGGGGAGUGAGAGGGACUUAUGUAGACAGAAAAGGAAGUGAAGGUACAUUUGACACUAGAACAGCAGUUCUCAACCUGUGGGUUGUGACCCCUUUGGUGGUCAAACGACCCUUUCACAGGGGUCGCCUAAGACCAUCCUGCAUACCAGAUAUUUACAUUACAAUUCAUCACAGUAGCAACCUUACAGUUAUGAAGUAGCAACAAAAAUAAUUUUAUGGUUGGGUCACAACAUGAGGAACUGUAUUUAAAGGGCCAGAAGGUUGAGAACCACUGCACUAGAAGUUACGACUCGGGUACCUAAGCUUCCAUGGUUGUUUGACAUCCACUGGAAGGGACGCAUAGAAAAGAGGAAGUUGAGUUGCUGCUGAACCUCCUGCUGUGGAAACUAUCCAAUUGCUUUGAGACUCUUGAGAUGAAUCUUUGAUCAGGAUGGAGAGAGGACAGACACUCUCUCUGGUAAUCAGUGUCCCUUAGAGGGGAAGCAUUGCAGGGUCUGUGUGUGACUGGCCCUGCGGUUAGUAAAGAAUCUUAGUUAGUAAGGCUCCUGGUUCUUCCCUGGUUGCUGAUGUAAACAGAGGAGCUCAUGCACCCUUUCCCUUCCUCAGGACUUACAGGUGGCUCCGUGCCAGCUUUCUCCUGCUGGGCACACAUCUGGGGAUGGAGGCCGCAACCUCAGUAUGUGCCCUGACAGGGAAUCUAACCGGCAACUUUUUGUGCACAGGGCAACAUUCAACCAACUGAGUCACAGUGACCCGGCUCAACUCCCUCCAUUUUCAGUGACUCUCUUAGCAUGUUUAUUCCAUUUUAUUUUCUCUUGUGUUAUUAUUCUCCAAACACAAGAAAGCAAAACAGAAACACCCAGUUCAAUUAAAAAAAAAUUAACAAAUUGCAUAAAAAACUGGAAGGUGUAGAAAUAACCAAAUAAGAUGGAAGAACCAAUUCCAGAUAUAUUGGUAAUCACCAUAAAUGUAAAUGGGUUAAACUUGCCAAGUAAAACACAAACAUUAGCCUUGGCCGGGUAGCUCAGUUGGUUAGAGUGUUGUCCUGACAUGCCAAGGUUUUGGGUUUGACUCCUGGUCAAAUCACAUACAAGAAUUAACCAAUGAAUCAAUCAAUUAAGUGGAACAACAAAUUGAUUGUUUCUCUCUUUCUUCUCUCUCUGAUGUAUAAAAUAAGUGGUAAAACUGCCAUUUUCUAGAGCAUUUUUUCAAUCUGAUGAGAUUUUGCUUCUCAGCAAUUGUUAUAAGUUUGGAUGAAAUAAACUCAUAAAAAUUCUUA